GAGGAACGCGAGCUACAGGCUUAACACAUGCAAGUCGAGGGGAAACGACAUCGAAAGCUUGCUUUUGAUGGGCGUCGACCGGCGCACGGGUGAGUAACGCGUAUCCAACCUGCCCAUCACUUGGGGAUAACCUUGCGAAAGUAAGACUAAUACCCAAUGAUAUCUCUAGAAGACAUCUGAAAGCGAUUCAAGAGUUAGCGGUGAUGGAUGGGGAUGCGUCGGAUGAGCUUGGUGGCGGUGGAACGGCCCACCAAGGCAACGAUCAGUAGGGGUUCUGAGAGGAAGGUCCCCCACAUUGGAACUGAGACACGGUCCAAACUCCUACGGGCGGCAGCAGUGCGGGCUCUUGGUCACUGGGCGGGCGCCUGCGCCCGCCCCGUCGCGUGCCGGAAGACGGCCCUAUGGGUUGUCCACUGCUUUUCUCAGGGCCUCCAGUGCGCGUCGUGCCUCUUUUUGUCUGUCCCUUCUGCCUCAGGCCCGGCUCCUUCCGUG
rnacentral:rRNA from 1 species